UCCUACACUAUUAUCUAUCGCUAUGGAAUGCAACUCUUUUGUCGAGAACAAAAGAGUUGCAUUCCAUAGCGAUAGAUAAUAGUGUAGGA
rnacentral:pre_miRNA from 1 species